rnacentral:rRNA from 1 species
CCUACGGGCGGCAGCAGUGGGGGAUAUUGCACAAUGGGGGCAACCCUGAUGCAGCGACGCCGCGUGGGGGAAGACGCGCCUCCGCGCGUAAAGCCCUUUCAGCAGUGAAUUGACGGUACCUGCAAGGGAAGCACCGUCUAACUCCGGUCCAGCAGCCGCGGUAAUACGUAGGUUGCGAGCGUUAAUCGGAAUUACUGGGCGUAAAGCGCUCGUAGGCGGUAUGUCAAGUCAAGGGUGAAAUCCCGGCGCUCAACGUGGGAACUGCAUUUGAAACUGGCAACCUGGAGUGUGUGAGAGGAUAGUGGAAUUCAAGGUGUAGGAGUGAAAUGCGUAGAUAUCUGGAGGAACACCGGUGGCGAAGGCGACUAUCUGGCACAUAACUGACGCUGAGGAGCGAAAGCGUGGGUAGCAAACAGGAUUAGAUACCCCUGUAGUC